rnacentral:rRNA from 1 species
GACGAACGCUGGCGGCGUGCUUAACACAUGCAAGUCGAACGGAAAGGCCCUGUUUUUGUGGGGUGCUCGAGUGGAGAAAGGGUGAGUAACAUGUGAGUAACCUGACCUUGACUUUGGGAUAACUUAAGGAAACUGGGGCUUAUACCGGAUAGGAGCUCCUGCUGCUUGGUGGGGGUUGGAAAGUUUCGGCGGUUGGGGCUGGACUCGCGGCUUUUCAGCGUGUUGGUGGGGUAGUGGCUUACCAAGGCUUUGACGGGUAGCCGGCCUGAGAGGGUGACCGGCCACAUUGGGACUGAGAUGCGGCCCAGACUCCUGCGGGAGGCAGCAGUGGGGAAUAGUGCGCUAUGGGCAGAAGGCGGAUGCAGCAACGCCGCGUGCGGUAUGACGGCCUUCGGGUUGUAAACCGCUUUCGCCUGUGACGAAGCGGGAUUGACGGUAGUUGGUAAAGAAGCACCGGCUAACUACGUG